AGAACUUUCUAGAGAGACAGGUGAGAGAGAGAGAGAGAGAGAGAAGUCCAGGGGAGAAGAACCUUGGGAGACACUCCCCGCAGUUUCUAAAACCAGCAACUUGUAUGUCAGCAACCAACCCCACUUGGAUUUGGAAUUCACUGAACCCAACCCUCUCUCUCUCUCUCUCUCUCUCUCUGUCUGUGUCUGCAUGAUAGCAAUAGUAAUAAUAGUGAUACUUCAAAUACAGUGCUACAACCCAGAGCUCCAUCAAAAGGGAAGGGGUACCAAUCCUCCGUUUCACCAUAUAACUUCCAUACCAUCUUCAGAAAUUUUGAUAUCAUAAAACCCACUACUUUUUUAUGCUUGUUUUUGUUUUGAUGAGUCUUUUAUGCUUCAGGCUACCACUAAACAGAUAGGAAUUGUAAAGAGGAGUUUGGGAAAAUUAGGGGGCUGAGAUGCAAAGAGUGCAUAAAGGUGCCUCUCUGUCUUGUUGCCUUAUUUGGAAAUUUUACUACCACCAGCAUCAAAGGCUUCAGCAGCUUUAUCAACAUCACAGCUGGAUUAUUGGGGACGACGUCUCAUGGUUUGCGAGUUGAACUUAAGUUUUGAUUCUUUGGGAACAGACGAAGACACGUGGUUUGAUUUGUUUGAAGACGGCUGGAAAAUUUUCUUCUAGUGAUACCAAAAGUCUAUUUUCAUUGCAAGAUUUUGUUUACUUCCACUUUGCAUUUGUAGUUGGUAAAGCUGUAAGUUCUGAACCUGCGAUCUAAGCAGCAUUAGUUUCUAAGAAGAAACACUGCAUUGGGCUGUUGAAGUACAAGGAUAGCAACUAUGGCCCACAUUUGCACAUUUGCACCAGCAUUAUAACUAUGGCCCACUUGUGUUAGAAUUUUGAAGAGUAUUGAAGUUUGCACAUUUCUUGGGUGGAUAUAUCUUUGAAUUGAGUCAUUUGUCAUUUGCAUUGGCUCAAUCUGAACUGGGGUGCUGUGAAUUAGGUGGCUAGGAGAUCUUUAAAUGAGAUUUGAACUUCCUGAGGUGGAUCUGAGAUUGUUGAAAGGUUUGAUUUGUUUACAAAAUCAUUCUGCAAGUUGCAUUAUGGAUGCGAGAUCAAGAAAGGUUCCUGGCCCUCUGUUUGAAGGAAAGAAGAUUGAAUACCAACGCAGCCUGUCACAUGGGAAGGGGAGCAGCAGAAGAUUGUUGGCUGCAAGUUACUUCAGCUUAGAGUCAUUGCUUUUGCUCGUAUGUCUCACGGCUUCUUUGCUGAUUCUUCCAUUGAUACUUCCACCUUUGCCUCCCCCACCAUUCAUGCUGCUUCUGCUUCCCAUAGGGAUCCUAGCUGUUCUUAUGGUUUUGGCUUUCAUGCCUUCUAAUGUGAGGGAUAUAACCUAUACAUAUGUGUAAAUGUUGUAAUAAACAUGCUCAGCAGCAC